UUGAAUUGUCAAAGGGGGUUGUUGCUGGCCUCUCAGCUGACAGGCAUGUGCACACCCCUUUUCACAUCCAUUCACACCUGUGCACCCUUUGUAGUCCGGAGUGAGGGCCUCUAAGGCUUUUACAACCUGGCACUACGUUUCUUUACAAACACUUUCUGUAUAGAAUGUCAACUCAGCGUAUAUAAACGCAGAAAUGUAAAA
rnacentral:misc_RNA from 1 species